UUGGUUCACACCACGUGAUUAAAAGGGAACAGAGUGAGAAUCUCUGACAGUCCCGCUGCUGUAGAUUGCCUUUAUACGGCUGGAAUACAACAAUGUCACUGACACGCAAUGUUCGGGAAGACAUUCCAGCUUGGCAAAAGUCAGAAGACCUGCCGAUGCUA
rnacentral:ncRNA from 1 species